AUAUAAUAAGUGUUGGUACACUUAAUGUGACAGCGGUGAAUUAUGGUUGAACAGACAUAUAGCGUAAAUUCAAGUUUUUGUUUACGUUUUGUUUUGAUCAGAACGUGCACUAUUGACUCCGUCCUGAAGGGGUUAAAAUAGGCAUUGAAAGCAAUGUUUCAGUGUUUGCAGAUGACAUAAAACUCUGUCAAAUAAUACAAUGUGAGCAGGAUAUUGCUUUGCUGCAGAGGGAAUUAGAUUGGGGUUACUGGGCACUCAAAUGGCAUAUGGAAUGUAAUGUACAUAAAUGCAGUUAUGCAUUUUGGGUUAAAGAACGCAUAAGCAAUUUACGCCCUAAACAAUAGUGUAUUAGGGCUAACAAUAUACAAGAAGGAUUUGGGAAUUGUCGUAGGCAACAUUAUGCAAUGUCAAUCAGCAGUUGCUAAGGC